AUGUUGCAGCACUGCAGCAUGAAGGAAGGGUCGGUUCGGUGCGGCCAGCAAGGUCCUUUCGGGCCGAAAGAAGGUGUAGCCGAGCAGCUCUGGGCAGCCACCGCCCGUCCUCGAGGGCCUCGACAGUGGAAAGGCAGAGGCGAGGGGGUCUACACGGCCAGCCGGACAGUCUGCAUGGCCCCUGCGGCGCGGAGGCCGCCCGGGAGGUGGCACGGGGUCCCUGGCCCAGCACGAGCCGAGGCGGCGGUGGCCGGGUUCCUGGGCGCGAGGAGCGGGCACCGGCGGAGGCGCGGGCAGAGGCCGAGUCGGGACUCCCCGGCACCUGGCGGGCGUCCCCGCGACCAGGGCGGGGAUCCGGCUCCGCAGGCCGGUGCGGACCGAGCGAGGCGCGACCCCGGGGAGGCUCGGGGGUCUCCGCCCGCAGGAAGUUGGUCCCUGGACGCCUGGGCUCCUGGCUGCUGCUCAGCACACCGGCCGCCUCCCUUCAGGGUCGCCCCCGCGAGGGUCGCAUCUCAGGGACAGCAGCCGCAGCUCCCGGAGGACGAGGAGGUGGGGGAGGGAGGCCGGCCCGGAGGUUGGGGGAGAGGCCUGGAGGCCCCGGGCUGGGUCCGCCGCAGCCUCCACCACUCGCGGCCGGUGGGACACGCUCAGGCUGUGCCCGACGAGGCAGGAAACUUUCCGACCUGGUGGGGGAAACAUCAAAACAAACGGCCGUCAGGCGCCGGUGCCCGCCCGCCUCAGCCCUCAUCUCCCUCAACCCGCCCCCCGCCAGUCCCCGCCAGGGGCCACGACCUCGGUCGACCUCUCCGCGGAGGGGCUGCGGGGAUUUGGAGUCCGGACGCCACGACGGGUCCAGCCUCCCUCGCCGCCGCGCCGCCGCCUCAGCUUACCUUGCCAGCGCCGGCCGCCAUAGUGACUCUGACUGAAACCUACCCGGUGCACCGCCACGGGAACGCGCACCCUUCAAGGGCCCUCCUACCCCCUCUCCCGCGCCGUAGUCCGGGGACAUCACGUGAUCGACGCCGCGGAAGCCAUGAUAGUCGAGGGCAGAAAAGAGGGCAAGGGAAUUUUUAA
rnacentral:lncRNA from 1 species